UCUCUCUUCUCUCUCUCUUCUCUCUCUCUUCUCGGCGAUGGGUUCAUCAACGAUGGUGGUUGUGGGUGAAAGAUGAUGACGAUGACACAGAUCUACCGUUUGGUGGCCAGAUUGUUUCUUCUCGCUCUGAACUGGUGAAGUGUCUCCUUAGCACAGAGUGCAGGCUGGAACAAAGCAUGAUAAGGCCACUCUGGAUGCCACUACAAAUAGAAUCAAUAGCCUACUUUACAAGGUAAGAUCAAUCAGGAUGGGCGGCUCCUGUGCAUUGGGUCUCUGUGGGGGUUGCAUGUGGAAGGAAUGAUCUAUUUUAUGAGAUCGGCUUUGGUGGUCCUUGGUCUGCUCAUGGAUCACAGCUCUGAUUCCUUCCCACUUCGCUUCUAUCCAGCAGGCUUUGAACUAUGGUAGGGGUACAGGUGGCUCAGAUGCGAAAAAGGUGGUGGUUCACUCUAUUUUCCUCAUGACCUUGUGGAGACUUUGACUACAUCGCAAUGAAAAGGUGUUUAAUACUUCGAAUACUUCUUCGUUCAAAAUGGUGGCAGGUGUUAAAGAGACUAUGUUCUGGUGGGCUUCUAAGAGGUCAAAACUGAGGAAUAUUUCUUUUGGCAGUUGGAAUUCUUUUCUUGUAGUGUUUUUGAGGGGUAAGGGCUUGGCGUUAUUUUGUGUUUUUAGUGGUGGGCUUGUUGUUCAGUCUUUGCUACCAGCUAUGUUCUAUGUUUUAGUCAUCGAAUCUCAGUUUGGUUGUUAAAAAAAAUGGAACAGGUAACUAUAUAUUAGUAGCAUGUGUUUUUGAAAAAAGACUUUAUUUUUCAUAGAUUCGAAAGUACACCCAUACCCUCACCGUUCACCUAAAAAAGGUACCACUCAUAUUGGCGAAUCAUACUGCAAAAAGAAGAGAACCAUUCUGAACUGUUUUUCUGGUCUGGUGCAAUUUUGUAAGGGAAGCAGACCAAGCAUAUGAUGACGGGUCUUGGACAAAAAGACGAUGAAUUGGUAAACAAAGCUGAGUAAUUAAGGGUUCACUGACUGGGAUGAUGAGCAAAGGGAUCACGAAGUUCAUGUGGCUGGGGGACGUGGUAAAUCGGCAAGAGGAAGAGGAAAAUUCAGAGCUACCAUGAUUGUAAUGACUUUUCUUAACUGAACUGGCCAAGGUGGGUGGAGCUACUGGUGUGUGUCGCUCAAAGUGCUAAGCUUAAGUAAGUGCAUGGGGGUGACAGGCGAUGGUCUUUCAAGAUGUUCUGAACUAUCUGUAUUGAAGCUUGGGAUAUGUCUAAAUAUGACCGAUGAGGGGCUUAUUUUUUAUCGGGAAUGGAUGCAAGAAACUUAUAGAGCUCGAUUUAUACAGGUCAAUUGGACUUACGGAUAAAGGCAUUUCUGCGGUUGCUCGUAGGUGCACCGACCUUGAAAUGAUCAAUAGUUCUUACAGUGGAGUUUGUGAGCAGGGUAUGGUGCAUUAAAAUAGUGUCGCCACAAGAGGUGCAGCAACUGGGGAAACAAGGGGUCAAGGUUCUUGACCCGGUUCAGAUACAGAAACCCUCAGACAGCUGCUAUACUCCGAGCCAGCAAGUCUAUGAACUUGAGCAAUGGGGUCGCAUCAGUGGGUUCGCUUGAGUACUGAACCGACGUCUCCUCCGUCACAAACCCGCCACCGUCUCAGUCGUCUCCUCCGCCACACACUCCACACCCUCUGCCGGCAUCUUCAUCAGCGACAGCAUCUUUUCCGGUGAAGGUAUCAUCAUCACUUCAUGAGCGCCGUAGUUGAUGGAUUUGAUGUGUAUCUGUGUAAACGUUUUAAAUUUUGUUGUGAAUUUGUUUGAUUUUGUGGAGGAGUUUUGGAAUUUGAUAGAUGGAUUUGAUGUGUUUCUGUGCUUUAAACGGAACAAUAUCUUUGUAUUUUGUAAGCGCAUAGAUGCAACUUUUAAACCGGGCUUCCUUAUUGCUUACUGUU